CGAACGCUGGCGGCGCGCCUAACACAUGCAAGUCGAACGAGCGAGAGAGAGUUUACUUUUUCGAGCGAGUGGCGAACGGGUGAGUAACGCGUGAGGAACCUGCCUCAAAGAGGGGGACAACAGUUGGAAACGACUGCUAAUACCGCAUAAGCCCACGACCCGGCAUCGGGUAGAGGGAAAAGGAGCAAUCCGCUUUGAGAUGGCCUCGCGUCCGAUUAGCUAGUUGGUGAGGUAAUGGCCCACCAAGGCGACGAUCGGUAGCCGGACUGAGAGGUUGAACGGCCACAUUGGGACUGAGACACGGCCCAGACUCCUACGGGAGGCAGCAGUGGGGAAUAUUGCACAAUGGGGGAAACCCUGAUGCAGCGACGCCGCGUGGAGGAAGAAGGUCUUCGGAUUGUAAACUCCUGUUGUUGAGGAAGAUAAUGACGGUACUCAACAAGGAAGUGACGGCUAACUACGUGCCAGCAGCCGCGGUAAAACGUAGGUCACAAGCGUUGUCCGGAAUUACUGGGUGUAAAGGGAGCGCAGGCGGGAAGACAAGUUGGAAGUGAAAUCCAUGGGCUCAACCCAUGAACUGCUUUCAAAACUGUUUUUCUUGAGUAGUGCAGAGGUAGGCGGAAUUCCCGGUGUAGCGGUGGAAUGCGUAGAUAUCGGGAGGAACACCAGUGGCGAAGGCGGCCUACUGGGCACCAACUGACGCUGA
rnacentral:rRNA from 1 species